AAACCAGAGAAGGAGAACAACUAACCUCCCUAAGACU
rnacentral:tRNA from 1 species